rnacentral:misc_RNA from 1 species
UUAACGUUAAUGUGUACUCAGACGACAGGUUAGAAGGAGGUUGUGGUCCCCUGGCGGGCGCGGGCCCGCCAAAGCAACAGAGGUACGUAGACACGGGGUGGGAGGUGUGCCCCGGGGGCACGCUCUCGGUAAUGAUCCUUCCGCAGGUUCACCUACGGAAA